rnacentral:lncRNA from 1 species
UUUCUUGGGUUUGUUCGUGUGAUGAAGAAGAAGAUGAUGAAACAGCUAAAUGGAGUUGGCGUUGGAGUUGCUUGGUCAGCUCUCUGCCCUGUAUUAGCUCAUUCGGCAAGUUCAUUUUUUCCCAAUCUUCCAUAUUCCCGAUGACUUCAAAAUCUUAACGAGAACUUAAAAGAUGACUUGGUUUUUGAGCUGUUUCUGUUACACAAAAGCCAGUUGUAUCAGAGAUCGAGACCUCGAGCAACAACAAUGCCAAAAGAGAAGAAGACCAGGAAGCAGGUUCCAGAGAAGCGGUUAAAAAGCAAAAACUGGGGAUGGGUCUCUAAAGUUUAAGACUCUGAGAUUGGUGGGAGCUUAAAUCAGAACCGGGUCGGUCUAAACAGAUCUGAAAAAGGAUUCGUAACACGAGAAAAAAAGAGAGACAGAACUUUCGUGCCUUGAAUGGGUUUAGAAGAAGGAAGAUCCAAGAAGUAUCGGGAGUGAUGUCACACCCGAAUCUAACAAGAAUGGAGAAUGGUACAACCGUCCUUUUAUAUGAAAGACGUAGCCUCAAAUACAACAAAUAACCCGUAUCAAAAAAUAUAUAUUUUCCUCUACACAUAUAUAAUAACAGAACGGGUUGAUUAUAAUAUCAACGUUUCUAUCAUCCAUUAAAAAGGAAUAUGCUCAGCUUAGAAGUCAGCCCAUCCAACAAGUAUCUACUUAGAAACAAUGCAACUAGCUAAAGUCAUACCCAAAAUCCUUAUACCAAAAGUUUCUCGUCGAUAGUACUUUUGUCCAACCCGUCACUAACUGAGGAACUUGAAAGCAUUUAAGACGAAUGAGAUGAGCUACCACAGAUUAGUGAUUAGUGUAUCUCUUUUGAGAAAAUCGAGCAUCUACUAUACUUACAUACAUAAGUAUUACUAGAAACUCAAACUUCAAUCCCAAGAUAUAAUAUACAUAUCAAAACAAAUAUAAGUUAUUUUGUUUCAACAAAGCUUUAUACAAAUUAUAAUUACUCAUUUAAUCUACCACUAUGAUUCAAAUAUCAAUGGUGAAGUCUAUUGAUCAAUCUCAUCAAUUCACAUGUCAAUGGUUCAUUUCAUUGACCAAUCUCAAAUCACACAUCAAUGAUCAAUUCCAUGCUCAACAUCCAAUUCAAGCCUUUAGAGGUGGCUCCCAAGAAACUUAUAUUAUCAUGUAACACUUAAUCUUUGACCAAUGCAUAUCGAGAGUACAUGGCUCUAGAGGUUGCUUCCAAGAGAUUAGUGUCAUGCCCCGAACCCUGAGCGCAUGCCCAUCCCUCUCUGGUCGAUAAAAUUUUGCGACUUCCCAAGACGAGUCGCCGACCCAUUGUUUUUUUUUUUUUUUUAAGCACAUGCAGAAGCGAAAAUAAAUCCCCUGACAAUAAUUAUCUCAUCAUAGAAAAGCAGGAUAUGAAUUCACAAAACAAAUAGACUUUUAUAUUCACAUAAUGUCAGGCACAAGGUCUAUGACCAAAAGACUACAAAAGACUAACCUCCCAAAAAGAGACGGCCCUAGCUGACCUACACUUCUCAUUACUUCAUCUUGGCUCCCGGUCCUCCACUCGACGACCCCUGAAAAUAUUGUUCCACAACGGGGUGAGAUAAAAUCUCAGCGAGUCUAAGCUCUAAACCCCAAUUAGGAGGAAAUACGGCAAGAAGAGUCCUAACCACGCAAUCAUACAAUUAGCAUAGAGGACUUACCUCGCCUCAGUUCUACCCUACAGGUCAGCACAGUUCAUAUACAUUAUGUAUAGAAUUGAUACAUCCGGCAAUUGAAACGCAUCACUCAACUCAAUAAAUUACGGGGGGUCUAGAUUAUAGGGCCAAAUUGUUAUGACACGCCCCAUACCAUGUCACACAAUUUUGUCCCAUAAUCUGACACAUCAAACUCAACCAUCAUGCGUUCCAAUUGUUAAUUACACCCCUCAAGGGUAUGGCCAAUUCUAUUGGCGGUCUUCUGGCAUUGCCAGGCGUCGUCUCAUCCUAUUGAGCACGGUUACGUCUGUCUUAGAGACGACUUCCCCGAAGGGGCGUAGGUCCAGAAUCUACUGCGACCCGAAUACAACCUACUCACAAGUUCGGUGUCUUCUGGCAUAGCCAGGCUUCGUCUCCCACCAUGAGCACGGCGACGUCUCUCAAUUAGACGGCUUCCCCGAAGGGGCGUAGGUCCAGAAUCUACUGCGACCCGAGUCCCAAUAAAUGGGUAACAUCUGGCUUAACAGCCAGGAAUGGCUUCUCUUAAUCAACACACGACCACCCAAUAAAUGUGUAUUGCACUCAAAUGCCUCAAUUAAAAUAUUUUGUAUUAAAAACAUCCCGAAAAUAGUCGUGUGUGGGUACACGGUCAAUUUGAACCAGAAGACCGAUACCUAUCUUUUUCAAACCCCACUAUUUGAAUAGUACUUAAAAUCCAUUUUCGGUGUUAAAACCCGACACCCGGGAUUUUCUGAAUAAAUAUUGGAAUUUCACAAUUUUUGGAAUUAAAUAAAAAAAAUCCAAUCAGCACUCAAUUUGCAUAAUUUAACACUCAAUUGCAGAAUUUAACCACAUCAUUGCAAUCAGCACAAAAUUCUGGUCACCGACUAUCCCGGCCUAAAUUCCGGAAAAAUAUUUAAUAAAUAAUUAAUUUCGAAAAUUAAUUGAUUAAUUCAAUUUAAUUUCUAAAAAUACUAACCUUGGCCAAAAUUAUUAAAUUAAAUACCAAUACGGACCCGAAAAUUCCCGAACCCUUCUAGAUAAAUAGUACAAUUUAUUUAGGCCUUAGCUAAACCAUGCUAACCACCUAACAUGCUCAAUUAAAUAAUUACAUUUCUAAUUUAAUCUAACUAACCACCUAAUUCCUAAUAAAAUAAAUCUAAACACCCCUUAAACGUCAUUAGCCUACUAAGCAGAGUUUAGAGUAUAAACUAACCGGUUAAUUGUGGAAACCGGUUCACCGUGACAACGACUCGACGGCGGCCGAAAUUGAAAUUUUCGGCGGCGUCGACGAACUUGGGCCGGGCCUAAACUUAGCCCAACACAACUCAGCAAGGCUGAGUUUCGGUCUUGGGCUUUCUUCGCGGGCCCAAAAUGGGCUGAACUUCAAAUGGGCUAAAACCAACUGAACUUGGGCCUGAGCUUGGGCUUCAAAAUCUGCUGGAGAUGGGCUUAAAAUCACUGUGCUGAAGAUGGGCUUGUGGAUGAAUUCGUGGGCUGAUGAUGCGGGUUGCAUACGGGCCCAAUUGCUGACCAAAAUUCGCUGGCUUCGUGGACAAUGGUGCUGCCUUGCUUGGACUUCGCUGGCGCAUGAGGAAAGCUGCUACUGGCGGUGAAGAUGAAGACACGAGGCAGAAAGAGCUGGACGUUGGCCACAUGGAGAGGGGAUCGCACGAUGAAGCUGCUGGAUCAAAUUUCGAUGGACUCCUCUGUUCGUGCAAAGAAGUGGAGAUUGGCGGUCAUCACACCUGCUGUAGUUGACCUCGAUGGACUGAAGACACGAGGAGGGGAUGCGGAUCUUCGGUGCAGCUGCUUCGGACGUGUGGCCGCUUGAAGAUCGUCGGUAGACGUGGCAACGGCAGGAGCUGCUCAGUCAGCCAAGGAAUUCGGUGGAGGCGUUGGACGACUCUCGGCGAAGCAGAUUCGAUCUUCGGUGGGAAGUUGGCGGGUCAACAAUCAAAGCCAGUUUGGAGAAGCUUUGACCGAAGAAGCUGAAGACGCAAGGCUGAGGGGAGGAAAUAUGGUGAUGGCAUUAGAUGAUGGUGUAUGUUGGAUGAUGAUGAUGGUGGUGGGAAGACAAAACUCAGUGGAAAUGGGCGAGCGGAGAGAGAUCGUGGGGCUGUGGUCUUCGGUGGUUGUGAAAUGAAGAAGAAAAUGAAAACAAAAACAGGAACCGGAGGAGAUGAAGUCGGCGAGAAAAUGGGGGGCAGCUGGACGGCGUGUUGGAGAAGUCACG